rnacentral:rRNA from 1 species
CACUCCCUACGGGGGGCAGCAGUAGGGAAUCUUCCACAAUGGACGAAAGUCUGAUGGAGCAACGCCGCGUGAGUGAAGAAGGGUUUCGGCUCGUAAAGCUCUGUUGGUAGUGAAGAAAGAUAGAGGUAGUAACUUGCCUUUAUUUGACGGUAAUUACUUAGAAAGUCACGGCUAACUACGUGCCGGCAGCCGCGGUAAUACGUAGGUGGCAAGCGUUGUCCGGAUUUUUUGGGCGUAAAGCGAGU